GAAAACAGUUGCCGAGGCUUGGAAGUUCCAAACUAAUAAUGUUCCAAACUAAAGGACAAGGCUGGUUGGUAGGGUUAGUAUUUGGGGAGGUAACUUGAUGUUGUGUGGGAGCUGUGUAUAAAGGGUAUGUGGCUUAGCCACUAUUUGUGAUCCCACCAUAAGAUGAAUAAUGGGACAUCCAUAGCAAAUAGGAGUGGAGGAUGUCAAGCUUCCAUCGGUGAUGGGCUUUGAGACUUUGAUAUGUACCUUUAAUUUCUUAGACCGGAAGUACUCAGCCCUAGAAUCUGAACUAGAACAGUACCUGGAUGUAUCCUUC
rnacentral:lncRNA from 1 species